AGACCCGAAACCCGGUGAUCUAGCCAUGGGCAGGUUGAAGGUUGGGUAACACUAACUGGAGGACCGAACCGACUAAUGUUGAAAAAUUAGCGGAUGACCUGUGGCUGGGGGUGAAAGGCCAAUCAAACCGGGAGAUAGCUGGUUCUCCCCGAAAGCUAUUUAGGUAGCGCCUCGUGAAUUCAUCUCCGGGGGUAGAGCACUGUUUCGGCUAGGGGGCCAUCCCGGCUUACCAACCCGAUGCAAACUGCGAAUACCGGAGAAUGUUAUCACGGGAGACACACGGCGGGUGCUAACGUCCGUCGUGAAGAGGGAAACAACCCAGACCGCCAGCUAAGGUCCCAAAGUCAUGGUUAAGUGGGAAACGAUGUGGGAAGGCCCAGACAGCCAGGAUGUUGGCUUAGAAGCAGCCAUCAUUUAAAGAAAGCGUAAUAGCUCACUGGUCGAGUCGGCCUGCGCGGAAGAUGUAACGGGGCUAAACCAUGCACCGAAGCUGCGGCAGCGACGCUUAUGCGUUGUUGGGUAGGGGAGCGUUCUGUAAGCCUGCGAAGGUGGCCUGUGAGGGUUGCUGGAGGUAUCAGAAGUGCGAAUGCUGACAUAAGUAACGAUAAAGCGGGUGAAAAGCCCGCUCGCCGGAAGACCAAGGGUUCCUGUCCAACGUUAAUCGGGGCAGGGUGAGUCGACCCCUAAGGCGAGGCCGAAAGGCGUAGUCGAUGGGAAACGGGUUAAUAUUCCCGUACUUGGUGUUACUGCGAAGGGGGGACGGAGAAGGCUAUGUUGGCCGGGCGACGGUUGUCCCGGUUUAAGCGUGUAGGUGUGUGUUCCAGGUAAAUCCGGUUCACUUUAACACUGAGGCGUGACGACGAGGCACUACGGUGCUGAAGCAACAAAUGCCCUGCUUCCAGGAAAAGCCUCUAAGCAUCAGGUAACAUCAAAUCGUACCCCAAACCGACACAGGUGGUCAGGUAGAGAAUACCAAGGCGCUUGAGAGAACUCGGGUGAAGGAACUAGGCAAAAUGGUGCCGUAACUUCGGGAGAAGGCACGCUGACACGUAGGUGAAGUGAUUUACUCAUGGAGCUGAAGUCAGUCGAAGAUACCAGCUGGCUGCAA
rnacentral:rRNA from 1 species